AGACUGAACGCUGGCGGCGUGCUUAACACAUGCAAGUCGAGCGGUAACAGGCGUAGCAAUACGUGCUGACGAGCGGCGAACGGGUGCGUAAUACAUGGGAAUCUGCCCUUUGGUGGGGAAUAACCCGGCGAAAGCCGGGCUAAUGCCGCAUAAGAUCUUCGGAUGAAAGCGGGGGAUCGUAAGACCUCGCGCCGAUGGAUGAGCCCAUGUCGGAUUAGCUAGGUUGGUGAGGUAACGGCUCACC
rnacentral:rRNA from 1 species